GUAUUAUUUUUACCGUGAAACAGUGCAGAUGGUGCCGGUUAUAAAGGAUUUAUAUGUGAUCUAGUAUCAUGUGGGCCAUUAACUGAAAAAGAAGUGUUAAAAAUUUUGCCCGGAGCCAUCGGUAGGAAGCCAUAUAUUGCUACAUGAACCUCAGUUAAUCAGUGUUCAAACCUCAGUUACGCCAAGGCGUGUGAGGAUACGACGGAGGGAAAGGAUGACUUCAGCUCUUUUACAAUUUCUUCUAGGAGAUCCAUUGUUGAUAACUGAAACAAAAUAUGGAAUUCUUCAGUUGGGUGUCCUUCUUCCGGUGAGCUUUGAUCUUGUCAUGGCAGAGUAGCGUGCUGGUAAGGGAAACGUCUUCGGCCAGUUUCCGCAAUACCAUCGUCAUCUUGUAGAAUUU